UACGUAGGGGGCGAGCGUUGUCCGGAAUUAUUGGGCGUAAAGAGCUCGUAGGCGGUGUGUCGCGUCGGCCGUGAAAACCUGCAGCUUAACUGUGGGCUUGCGGUCGAUACGGGCAUCACUGGAGUUCGGCAGGGGAGACUGGAAUUCCUGGUGUAGCGGUGAAAUGCGCAGAUAUCAGGAGGAACACCGGUGGCGAAGGCGGGUCUCUGGGCCGAUACUGACGCUGAGGUGCGAAAGCGUGGGGAGCAAACAGG
rnacentral:rRNA from 1 species